UACAGAGGGUGCGAGCGUUAAUCGGAAUUACUGGGCGUAAAGCGUGCGCAGGCGGUUGUGCAAGUCAGAUGUGAAAUCCCCGGGCUUAACCUGGGAACUGCAUUUGUGACUGCACAGCUGGAGUGCGGCAGAGGGGGAUGGAAUUCCGCGUGUAGCAGUGAAAUGCGUAGAGAUGCGGAGGAACACCGAUGGCGAAGGCAGCCCCCUGGGCCAAUACUGACGCUCAGGCACGAAAGCGUGGGGAGCAAACAGG
rnacentral:rRNA from 1 species